AAACAAACCUACUAUUUAAAGUAUAUUAAAUAGUAUUAGCCACAAACCUCUGGAUAAGGAUCAGACUGCCGAGUUUGUGAUCGUGGAGCCCACGCAUAGCGGCCGCCGUGAGGCAUCCUAAGCGACAUAGAUUCCUAAUGAACGAG